rnacentral:rRNA from 1 species
GACGAACCGUGCGAACGUUGUUCGGAAUCACUGGGCUUAAAGGGCGCGUAGGCGGGCUCGCCAGUCAGGGGUGAAAGCCUCCAGCUCAACUGGAGAAGUGCCUUUGAUACUGCGAGUCUCGAGGGAGGUAGGGGCGUGCGGAACUUCCGGUGGAGCGGUGAAAUGCGUAGAUAUCGGGAGGAACACCUGUGGCGAAAGCGGCUCACUGGACCACAACUGACGCUGAGGCGCGAAAGCUAGGGGAGCAAACAGG